AUGAUGAGCUCCAUCCCUAUCUGAGUUGUGAUGACUGUAGCGCGCUCUGA
rnacentral:snoRNA from 1 species